ensembl:lncRNA
ACCUGAUAAUAGCCCUGUGAUGCUGACACACAGUAGGAAUCAUUCAGACGAAACAAUUGAACUAAUAUCACAUUAUGAAGACAAUGGUCCAGUCACCUCAGCUAGUUUUUCAAAAGACAGAGGAACCACAUGGGGAGGAGAAGAAAGCCAAAAGUGCAUUACUGUUGCUUCUUUACCGGUGGCCUCUCCACAACAGAGUUUCUCUCCCUUUGAGCCGGAAGAAAACAUCAGCCCAUCAGACAGGAUCACAGACAAGGAUGUUCCUAUGUUGGAAAUGAAAGAGAUGUUUGACUCAGUCAUUGAAGAGCUGUGUAUGUACUUUGAAAUUGGUCAAGAAGAAGAGGAGUCAAAUGAGGUACCUACUGAGUCAAGAAAAGAGGACAGUGUACCCUGCGCUAGUCCAUUCUCAAAAUCUCAAGAUGUUACCGUGUCAAGAGACAACAUUCUUGACGUUGAACAAGUGGAGGUAGAAUCUUCAGAUGUCCUCAAAGAGCUUGACUAUGAACAAGAGGUCCCCCUAGAAAGUGGUCACCCUCUUCUCGAAAGAGAGGACUCUAUGUAUUCCAUCAUGAAGAGCAAAGAAUUCAGAAAAGAUGACAACUACAAACCCUGGUCUCCUGCAUUCCUGUCUUUUCCUUUCCUCGGACAUCUUGGUGAAAGACAAGUGGAGUCAUCACCAAAAAGACUGGAGCCUCUGAAAACAUGCAGCCGCCCAAUCCGUGUGGGACUCUCCAAAAAGGCCAGGACAAAGCAGCUGCAUCCGAACCUGAAAUAAGCACAGUCCGAGGCACAGCGAGGUCUGUUCAGAUAUUAAAUAUGGCAACGUGUUUACACUGCAGACCUACAUAUGGACACUAGUUAGAGCAGGUAUUAGCAUUAGUAUUAGUGUAUCCUGUUUUUGCUUGGCCUUGUUCCAAACCUGGUAUGCUUUUUAAUCUAUUUAUGAAUGAGCAUCACUCUAUCAUAUUUAAACUGUAAAAUGUAUGGUAUAUAUUUAUUCAUAUGGUCUUCGGUACCGCGUUUCAUAAUUAUAAAUUUAAGUUGGAAUUGUUCAUGGCUCUCACUAUUUUGUUUGAUACUGUUUAUUCAUUAGCAUAAAAUUGCAUGGUAGUCGGCCCAGACAAAAUGUAGGCACUGUAGUUGGUCGUUAUUUUAAAAACCUUAUAAUUUUAACUCUAUUUUUGUACUGUCUUUGCACAGCAUCUCAGGUUAUAGUUUGUUCUCAGGUAAUAGAAACUUCAAGUACUGAUGUCUUUUCAAGGCAAUGCAGCCUGUCCAAUGAGCCUGAAGCUUUUGGGAAUAUUUACUGGCGUAUUGCUGCUUUAAUUGAUGAUUGAAUAUGUAAAAAUCAACAGUGGACUCAUUCUCUUAAUAGACCAAGCAGCGUCAUAAUAGCAGCACCCAUGGAGAUAUGAAUAGAGACACAGAGAGACAGGGAUAGAGAGAUUUUAAAAGCUCCCUGUUAUGCCAUUGACAGAUCAGGACAGUAACUUCUAAAAGUUCUUCCUUGCAGGAGGGAUUUAUUUUAUAAGAAUCCCUGCAAAAACAUCAGGAACAAAACAAGAGCUUUACUCAAUAUCUAAUAACUGUGUGAGAGGCAGAAAAUGGUAGAGAAUGGUGGCAUCAUUGAGGUUCUUGGCUCCCGAUUACAUCCUGGUAGCUGAAAGGUAUCUGCUUGCAUAAUUUCAUUCAGUGAAUUGAUGUCAUUUGCAUUUGGACAAGAAUACUCUGCGCCCUCUUGAAGUCUGAGUGCACCGAAACAAACCAAAGACCAUAACACCAAAUGCUAAUAGCUGUAUUGGCCUUUAAAAAAACAUAAAUAUGAAAAAAUAGUAAAAUCAGAGUUUGCCCAGCAUCCUUUUAAAAUGGAUCCCUGGGGUUGCACCACAAAUGAUGCAAAGAAGGUAAUUUAAGAUAGUUUCCCAUGUGAUAUGGUUACAUCUCAUGUUGUCUCUGCAUUGAAACCGUAUUCAACCAUGCUUGAAUGUUAAAUUGUCUAGUGUGCUUUGAUGGUCAAGAGAUUCCAAACAGCCACCUUUUUUUCCGGUCCUUAUGCAAACCUUAUUUCAUUAGUGGUCAGGGUUGGGUGGUUUCUCCAAAAACCAAUCAAGUGCUUCUGUGACAUGAAAGGGAGAGCACAGCACGGAUUUUGAAGACAUCAAAGCUCUGGACAGAGCCAGAAGGCCUUUUUUGAAGUUCUUAUGAAAUUACUCUCUGCUAGCCGACCACGUCAUUCUUCUAACUACAAGCACAAAAGCAGGGUCCAGUGAUUGUGUGCGUUGUGUGUGCAUUAUCUUAGGGGUGAUGGAGGCAAUACUACAUACUAAUUUUACUGUAUGUACUGAAUAAAUUGCGCAAUGUUGGAAGAAUACAUUUUUUUUCUCUUGUACCUGAAUAGCUUAAAAAGAAACGUUUUGGCCUUGAAAUUCCAUAGGGUACAUACAUACAUGUUUUUCCCGAUAGUUAGCUUUUACACUCUACAUUCCUUGUAGUGGAGAUUGUCAGAACUGGAGAGAACACUGUGACCUUACAUCUGUAGAGACAAAGAAAAAGGCUGCCUGGAGUCUGUUAUGUCACCCAUAACAUAUUAGUUUUUCAGCCAACCUGCGCAAGACAUCAGCAUACUAAUCUGCAUGUAGCGAGAUUCUUCAAUUCUUCUAAUACUUUUCUGUGACUAACUUUGUGUUUUAGAUU